rnacentral:rRNA from 1 species
UACGUAGGUGGCGAGCGUUGUCCGGAUUUAUUGGGCGUAAAGAGCCCGCAGGCGGCUCGGCAAGUUUCAGGUGAAAUCUCCCGGCUUAACCGGGAGGGUGCCUGGAAAACUGCCGGGCUUGAGGCAGGGAGAGGGAUGCGGAAUUCCCGGUGUAGUGGUGAAAUGCGUAGAUAUCGGGAGGAACACCAGUGGCGAAGGCGGCAUCCUGGCCCUGUCCUGACGCUCAGGCGCGAAAGCCAGGGGAGCAAACGGG